AUACGAGGGGUGCAAGCGUUAAUCGGAAUUACUGGGCGUAAAGCGUUCGUAGGCGGUUUGUUAAGCAAGAUGUGAAAGCCCUGGGCUCAACCUGGGAACUGCAUUUUGAACUGGCAAGCUCGAAUACUGUAGAGGGUGGUGGAAUUUCCAGUGUAGCGGUGAAAUGCGUAGAGAUUGGAAGGAACAUCAGUGGCGAAGGCGGCCACCUGGACAGAUAUUGACGCUGAGGAACGAAAGCGUGAGGAGCGAACAGGAUUAGAAACCCCAGUAGUCC
rnacentral:rRNA from 1 species